rnacentral:rRNA from 1 species
AUUGAACGCUGGCGGCAGGCCUAACACAUGCAAGUCGAGCGGAUGAAGGGAGCUUGCUCCUGGAUUCAGCGGCGGACGGGUGAGUAAUGCCUAGGAAUCUGCCUGGUAGUGGGGGAUAACGUCCGGAAACGGGCGCUAAUACCGCAUACGUCCUGAGGGAGAAAGUGGGGGAUCUUCGGACCUCACGCUAUCAGAUGAGCCUAGGUCGGAUUAGCUAGUUGGUGGGGUAAAGGCCUACCAAGGCGACGAUCCGUAACUGGUCUGAGAGGAUGAUCAGUCACACUGGAACUGAGACACGGUCCAGACUCCUACGGGAGGCAGCAGUGGGGAAUAUUGGACAAUGGGCGAAAGCCUGAUCCAGCCAUGCCGCGUGUGUGAAGAAGGUCUUCGGAUUGUAAAGCACUUUAAGUUGGAGGAAGGGCAGUAAGUUAAUACCUUGCUGUUUGGACGUUACCAACAGAAUAAGCACCGGCUAACUUCGU